GGGAAACAUGGGUUUGGUGUACACUGUUCAUGAAUUACUGAUGCUAAUGUUCUGAUAGUGAAGUCGUACGAAAUACAAUUCAAGAAGUCCCAAUAACUAAACACAGCCCAUUUGUUGUCCAAUUUUAUGGUAAGAGUAAGUUUUUAUUUCUGUAAUAAUGUAUUCACUCGGUUUAGUAACCAAACAUUGGCAAAAAUAAAGAGGCUUUAUGCUUUAAUAUUUUAAUUUUAAACAAAUAUUAUUAAAGAAAAUCUAUUAUGCCUAUUUAAAUAUUUUACCAUAAUAUGACAUACAUCGUUAACAAAGUAUUACUAUCAACCAAAUUGCGCUCAGAAUCGUUUUUUGGUGAGCAAUCAUUGCUGGUUUAAUAAAUGUUUUUUCUAUAGAUUUAAUUAAAAAUUAUUAAUUAUUUAAGGAUCUAAAAUAAGAAAACCAACAACCUAUCUAUUUUAAUUAUAUGCCAUACAAUAACCAAAUUAAUAAAAUAACUUUUUGUAUUUAAAGAAACUAGUUGUUUCACCCUGACACUUAGUAUGACAGAAAAUAAUGGUUAUAUAAUACUUUAAAGAAGUUUGUUUAAAUGUUUAAAACAAAACAUAUCUAAAAAUAACAUUCUCAGAUAGUGAGUGUUUUAUACUAAAUUGACCACUGUGUAUAUUAAAGUCAAUACAUCAUACAAUAUUAUUAUAAGUACCUAUAACUAAUUUAAUAUAUUCUAGAUACUAAUAAUUUUUACCACAUUUUUUUGAUUUUCAGACUACUGUGGGAAAUGCGUACAAAGUCAUCACAAUCUCCGUAACGAAAAAGGAUCAUAGUUAUACAAAUUAUUCAAAUCCAUGAUAUUCAAAAACACCAAAAACCCUAUGUCAGUCUAAAGAGUUAAGGAAUUAAAGCAUUAAGAUUCACAUGGACCCGUUCAUCAGCUUUUGUAUGUACAUUAUUAGA